AACGAACGCUGGCGGCAUGCCUAACACAUGCAAGUCGAACGAGACCUUCGGGUCUAGUGGCGCACGGGUGCGUAACGCGUGGGAAUCUACCCUUGGGUUCGGAAUAACUCAGAGAAAUUUGAGCUAAUACCGGAUGAUGUCGCAAGACCAAAGAUUUAUCGCCCAAGGAUGAGCCCGCGUAGGAUUAGCUUGUUGGUGAGGUAAAAGCUCACCAAGGCGACGAUCCUUAGCUGGUCUGAGAGGAUGAUCAGCCACACUGGGACUGAGACACGGCCCAGACUCCUACGGGAGGCAGCAGUAAGGAAUAUUGGUCAAUGGACGCAAGUCUGAACCAGCCAUGCCGCGUGAAGGAUUAAGGUCCUCUGGAUUGUAAACUUCUUUAUCUGGGACGAAAAUGACAGUACCUGGAGAAUAAGCUCCGGCUAACUCCGUGCCAGCAGCCGCGGUAAU
rnacentral:rRNA from 1 species